UACAGAGGUCUCAAGCGUUGUUCGGAUUUACUGGGCGUAAAGGGUGCGUAGGCGGCGAGGUAAGUCAGAUGUGAAAGCUCAGGGCUUAACCCUGAAACUGCAUCCGAUACUGCCUUGCUGGAGUAGUGGAGGGGAGACUGGAAUUCACGGUGUAGCAGUGAAAUGCGUAGAUAUCGUGAGGAACACUAGUGGCGAAGGCGAGUCUCUGGACACUUACUGACGCUGAGGCACGAAGGCCAGGGGAGCGAAAGGG
rnacentral:rRNA from 1 species